UUCAAUGCAUCAAAUAGCAUGUCAGAUAUAAUACAAGAUGCCAGGGUGUAUUCCUAUUAUCUAAGUAUGUACUGGGGAUCUUUUGCUACCUGCAAGCAAUUGGUCUUGUUGUUGAUUUCAAGAGAUGAUGGUGUGGUAUGGUUAUAUAUACAUUUUAAUAAACCUGUAUAUUGUAAUCACAGACUAACAAAUACCUCCUACUACAGUUAUAAUGGUCUUAUACUAAAAAGAUAAUUAUAUAUGUAUAGCAAUAUUUCAACCUCGUCUGUAAAUGGAGAACAUAUAUUUUAUCUACCAUUUGAUACAACAUUUCAGAGCUUGCAAUUCCUGCCUUGAUUUCCUUCAUUGCGGGUUGGUGCUAACAAAGACGCUUCUAGAUCAAGGGUUACGGCGCGUGUUCAAAAUCCCGUCCUCAUUUCCUCGAAUAAGACUAAUCACCGACUUUGUACUUGCGUCACCAAUUAAAAUGGAUGUUAAAUGUGGUAGCAGGAUCUGUUUACCCUUCCGGAGCGCCUGAACUGAACAGCAUGCAGUUUUAGUUGUGUUCGUCCGUUAUUUUUCUAUCGACCAUGAUUCGUUUUUGCUAUAGCGUUGUCAGUUUGUAUUCGACCUAUUAGUUUAAAUGUCUAGUUUGCAUUUUCUGCCUUUAUUCUAUUUAUACAUUAAAAAACAGUAAUAAAAAACUGUUCACAGACUUUUUUCAUGAGCAUAAAGUAAGGACAGCCAUAUUUAUGAAAAAAGAACCAAACACACAAUUAAACUUAUAACACGUGACUUAAUGUUGUAGGUUUAUACAUUAACGCAGAUGGAUGCACGGAGAAAGCUAACAGAUGAAAUGGUAACAAAAAUAACACUUGAUAAUCAGAAAUACUUUGAUGGAAAUGACAGAGUCAAGAUGGGUCAGGGGAUCAAGUCAAUGAUCAAUAAAUAUGGGUAAUCUUUUUUGUAACGACAUUAUAUAUUUAUUCACCAAAUGUGCUUGAUACAAUGUUAUUUCAAGAGAUAAGCUUUAAUUUUUUUGAAAUAUUGGUAAUCUUCGUAUUUUUUAAAUGUAAACAAUAUUGAUAAUAAGACAACAACAUUAAUAUUUCCGAGAACACAUUUAUUUCGUAGUGCAUACAUAUUUUUAGACAAUAGGUGCAACUUUUAAAAAUUCGCUCCUGCUGUAUCCCAAUAAGUUUUGUAGUAUAGUGUACUAAUUAAGUUAACCAUACCAUAAUCAUGAAAAAACGCUAUCGUAGAGUAUUGGUGGAUCCAGUAGGUGUCGGAUGGUAGGAACCUCCCCCGUAUGAAAAAGGCGGGAUCCGAGACUGCCGAGGUUCUGAAUAUUUUGUCGGUAAACGUUUCAAGGGUAUAGGAUUUGCCGUUCGAGGCAUUAAUGCAACAACGAAAAAAUCAACUCAGUGUAGUAUGAGAAUAUUUACCCAAUCUGGGGUUGAAGUUAUGAAACUUUGCUCAGUGUUCGGAGCACAAAAAUCAUGCUCGAAACAUGAAAUCCAGUAUUUUGAUUGGUUGAUUUUUGACUAUGAGUACAAAAAACUGACUCGAAAUAUUUCUGAAGUUCUGGAUGGGGUUAACAGAACAGAGAAUAACGGGCAAAAUAUGCUGAUUAAAGGGGACACAAUACAUUUCAAUAUAGAGAAAAAAUACGCAAAAAAAGGACGAAAAGAGAAUAACCCGGGGUGCUUAAAUAUAAAGAAUAGAGAAGAAUAAGCAUAUUGAAUAUAGAAUAGGGAAAAAAGUUAUAGAAAAGGAAAUGAAGGACCCCACAUACAGGCCCUUAUAUCCUGGCUUUAUAUCCUUUUAAUGUAUUUAGACUGGGUUUUUUAAUUAUUUUAUAGAGAGUUGCUGAGAAAGCCAUCAACAGAAUAAGAAACCAGUCAUUGAAAAAGGAAUAGCAAUUGUGUCUUGAAAUAUAUUUGUUAGAGACUGUUAUUGUAUAUAAGAUAUUAGAGAGAGGAAGAGUUUUCAUGUAAAUAAUGUAUGAGACUAUGAAAUAAACUGUAUUUGUUUAAAAAAAAUAUGUUUACAUUGUAUAAUAAAAGUUUCAAGC
rnacentral:lncRNA from 1 species